rnacentral:rRNA from 1 species
GGCCAGACUCCUACGGGAGGCAGCAGUGGGGAAUAUUGCACAAUGGGGGAAACCCUGAUGCAGCAACGCCGCGUGAGUGAAGAAGUCAUUCGUGAUGUAAAGCUCUAUCAGCAGGGAAGAAAAUGACGGUACCUGACUAAGAAGCCCCGGCUAACUACGUGCCAGCAGCCGCGGUAAUACGUAGGGGGCAAGCGUUAUCCGGAUUUACUGGGUGUAAAGGGAGCGUAGACGGUAGAGCAAGUCUGAAGUGAAAGCCCGCGGCUCAACUGCGGGACUGCUUUGGAAACUGUUCAACUGGAGUGCUGGAGAGGUAAGCGGAAUUCCUAGUGUAGCGGUGAAAUGCGUAGAUAUUAGGAGGAACACCAGUGGCGAAGGCGGCUUACUGGACAGUAACUGACGUUGAGGCUCGAAAGCGUGGGGAGCAAACAGGAUUAGAUACCCGCGUA